AUGGGAAGGAUGAAAGGGCUCUACUUGACACUGGGCCUCUUGGCACUCACAACCUGCUUCUCAACAAGUACAACACAAGAGAGACAAAAUAGGCUGAAAAAUAGACUACAAAUGAAUCCAUCUGCACAAGCAUCAUCUUCACCUCAGCAAAUACUUUUCUUAAGGAAAAGUGGUAGGAUUCCCACUCAGCUAAAUCCAUCUGCGCAACAAAGACUUGGAGGCUCUCGAGCCUAUUUAAAUCCCGCUGGUCCAAAGAGAUCUCCAAAGAUAAAAUCUAGUCAAAGCUCUGCUGUACAGCAAAUUAGCCGAAAACCCUCAAAUUACCUGAAUUUUCCAGUUAAAACAAGAUCUAGAACUAUCAAAUUUGAUGUAAAUAAACGUGCCCAAAAGUUAAUUAAAAGUAAUAAACUUCUCAUGGAUACCUACACUCAUUUAAAAUUAGAUAAAUCCAAAAUUCCUUCAUAUCAAAAAAACAUGAAGCCCAAAACUAAGCUAAACUUAUUAAGUAAACCAAGAAUACCUAGCCAACCAAAAUCUCAGUCAAAAAUAUCUGAACAAAAUCAAAAUAAACGCAAAAAAGAACAGCGUGUUAUAAAGAGAAAUCACCUAAGUGGGACUAAAAACCAUCAAAUUAGCCAACCAAAAGCUAGUCAAAAAUCUGCCCAUCAAAAAAGCCACCAACUCCAAAAUAACAUAAAUAUAACAGCUCACAAAAGAUCUAGCAAUACCAAAUCUCAUAUACUCAAAACUAAAAUAUUACCAAGGAAAUCUAAAUCUCUUUCCAGGGUAAAUAAUCAACAGAACUCAGAUUUGACUAAGUUAUCCGCAACUUCAACUGGUAAAAAAUAUAGUCAACGUCAAACAAGGCAACAAAGAUUAGGUCCACGGAAAACAUCUGGUAAAUCAAAACUUCUAAAAUACAACAGAAGUAAGAAGGUAAAGCAGAAAACUGGUCCAAAUAAACCUGAUCCAACUGGACCCAGACAUGAUCAACCUGGUCAACCCAAGCCUGGUCAAAAAAAUUACAAACAAAAUGUCAACCAUCUCCCAAAUCAAAUGAAUUCAACAGCUCCCCUCAAAAUUAACAAACCCAAAUCUCAGCAAGGAAAAAUGGUUAAAAAAUCUCCAAGAAAACCUAAGCCUCACUUUAUAACCAAAGUUGAGCAAAAUCCAAAAAAAUCUAAUUCACCUGUAGUUUUAGUUGGUAAACGAAAUGGCCAGCACCAACCUAAACCACAAGCAAUAGGUUCACAUAAAAUAUAUACACUAUCAAAGCUUCAUAAUAAUGCAAUCAAGAAACAACGAAUUAGUCCAACAAAGACUUCUGAACAAAAGAAAAUUAACCAAAGGAAGUAUCAUCUAAAUUCUACUAAAGAAUCUGGAAACUCGAAACCUGUUGCAAACAGAUCAAAAAGAACCAAAAAAGUGAAAAAACAAUCUGGCCAACAGAGACCAGUGUGUAGACAUUGUCCAUCAGGCCAAUCAAGACCUCUUCAAAUAUUUCCUAUGCAACAAAAUAGCUACCAACUUUCAAAUCACAGGAACUCAUCAGCUCUUAAAAAACCUAGAAUUAUCAAAUAUCAGCCAGGCAAAACUACUAAAAAGUUAUCAAGGAAACCUAAACCUUCCUGUGGGACAAAAUUUCAACAAAAGCCAAAAGUACCCAAACGACCUUCAAUUUCAAAUGGUCCAAGGAAAGGUCAUGGUCAAACCAAACCACAACCAUUAAGUAUCAAGAAAAUAUUCAGCCAAGCAAAACUCCAUAAAAAUCCAACCAUAAGGCAACAAAAGAGUCAAGUAAAAACUUGUCCAAAUAUUCUCAAACAUCAUCAGACUGGGCCCUUAGGGCAUUAUUUGAGUAAACCAAUAAGAAAACAAUCUGGCCAAAGAAAACCGGAGGCAAAAGCAACCAAGCAGAAGAAAAGCAGGAAAGCAAAGAAUCCACCCUAUUAUUCAAGACCUCCCCACCCAGUCCCUCAAUUUCAUCUCCCUGGUCAACCAAUACCUAGACCAAAGGUGCCCUAUCCUAACCCACUUUAUAUUCAUCUGUAUAAACCCAUCCAACACCCUGCCUCACACAUACAUUGUGGAAAGCAACUAGGUAAAAAGCACCAACUUCACCCACACAGAACUUGUCAAAAGCCAGCACUGAAACCUAAACCUGGAUUUCAGCAGCAUCAUCCAGGGAUACUUCCUACCACACAACCUGGAAAGUUGACAACAAAUCUCAAUCCAAAAACUUCUAAACCUGUAUCCUCGGGACCAUUUUUAGUGACCACCAAAGCCUCUGCAGCCAUUUCAUCUGGAUCAACUAGCAGAAAGCCCACCACAAACUCACUGGCAUCUACCACCAAAUCUUCCUCAACUUCUAAUCCAACAACCACAGCCGCAAAAUCCACUGUUUCCACCAAACCUGUGGUUAAUACUCCCAAAUCCUCCACAACUGCAAAGUCAGCAGUUCCUACCAACAAAUCUUCCAGCACUAAUGAACCUUCUACAACUAUCACUACACCUACUACCACAACCAAAGUUAUCUCCUCCACCAAAUCCAUCGCGAACUCUACGCCUGCUGCCUUCACAAUCAAAUCCACUACAACUUUAAAACCUGUGAUUUUCACUACCAAAUUGACCACCUCUCCCAAGCCUGGGGCACCUACCACCAAACCUACUACCAUCAUUAACACUGUAGCUGACACCAGUUCAUCUGCCACUGUAUUACUCAAACCAACUGAAAUUCCUAGUUUCUCUUCCACUGGCCCUACUACUAUAAAACCUGCCCAAAUGACCAAAUCCGUGGUGAAAACCACUAAAUCCCUUCCUACUACCACCAAAGUCAACAAACCUACCAGCUCAAUAUCCAUCACCAGAAGAACUCCUGCUUCUAAUUUCUCAACAAUUGUGGCAGAAACUACAUCUCCUCUCACAAAAUCAGUUUCUCCAUCUUUAUUAACCACCACUCCACCUGCUACUACCACUGUUUCACCUGCCAGUACAGCCACACUGUCCUCGGUCCCUGCUACAACUCUGGCAGGAAGCACCUUAAGAGCCGCAAAUACUACAAAGAUGCCAGCCACAACCACAGUUUCUCUCUCGACAGCAUCACCAAGACACACGUCUGCUGCCACCACAGCUGCCCCUACUACAUCUGCUCCCAAAGCUACUUUGCCCCCUCUCACCACAAAGGGUGUUCCCAACAAAAGGAAAAAUGGUGCUUCAUCACAUGAAACUGUCAGAGGGAGAUCACACUGCUUACUUUGA
rnacentral:lncRNA from 1 species